GUUAAGCGACUAAGCGUACACGGUGGAUGCCCUGGCAGUCAGAGGCGAUGAAGGGCGUGCUAAUCUGCGAUAAGCGCCGGUAAGGUGAUAUGAACCGUUAUAACCGGCGAUACCCGAAUGGGGAAACCCAGUGUGAUUCGUCACACUAUCAUUAACUGAAUCCAUAGGUUAAUGAGGCGAACCGGGGGAACUGAAACAUCUAAGUACCCCGAGGAAAAGAAAUCAACCGAGAUUCCCCCAGUAGCGGCGAGCGAACGGGGAGGAGCCCAGAGCCUGAAUCAGCAUGUGUGUUAGUGGAAGCGUCUGGAAAGGCGCGCGAUACAGGGUGACAGCCCCGUACACAAAAGCGCAUAUUCUGUGAGCUCGAUGAGUAGGGCGGGACACGUGGUAUCCUGU
rnacentral:rRNA from 1 species